rnacentral:rRNA from 1 species
GAUGAACGCUGGCGGCGUGCCUAAUACAUGCAAGUCGAGCGAACGGACGAGAAGCUUGCUUUUCUGAUGUUAGCGGCGGAUGGGUGAGUAACACGUGGAUAACCUACCUAUAAGACUGGGAUAACUUCGGGAAACCGGAGCUAAUACCGGAUAAUAUUUUGAACCGCAUGGUUCAAAAGUGAAAGACGGUCUUGCUGUCACUUAUAGAUGGAUCCGCGCUGCAUUAGCUAGUUGGUAAGGUAACGGCUUACCAAGGCAACGAUGCAUAGCCGACCUGAGAGGAUGAUCGGCCACACUGGAACUGAGACACGGUCCAGACUCCUACGGGAGGCAGCAGUAGGGAAUCUUCCGCAAUGGGCGAAAGCCUGACGGAGCAACGCCGCGUGAGUGAUGAAGGUCUUCGGAUCGUAAAACUCUGUUAUUAGGGAAGAACAUAUGUGUAAGUAACUGUGCACAUCUUGACGGUACCUAAUCAGAAAGCCACGGCUAACUACGUG